rnacentral:misc_RNA from 1 species
UUUCCGUAGGUGAACCUGCGGAAGGAUCAUUAUUGUAUAACCGAGGUGCGAGGGCUGUCGCUGACCCGAAAGGUCGCACACGCCCGAGUGCCCUCACACACAUCCAUCUCACCCCUAUGUGCACCACCGCGUGGGUCCCCCUUUGGCUUGUUCGGAGGGGGGCUUACGUUUUCACACAAACUUUGUAUGCAGUGUAGAAUGUAUUUUUUGUUUUUGCGAUCACGCAAUCAAUACAACUUUCAACAACGGAUCUCUUGGCUCUC